rfam:Folsomia candida strain VT population Fcan01_Sc028, whole genome shotgun sequence.
CCAACGGCCCUUUUAAGGGCCACCACUUUCUCCAAAGAGCCGUCAU